rnacentral:rRNA from 1 species
GGUUAAGCGACUAAGCGUACACGGUGGAUGCCCUGGCAGUCAGAGGCGAUGAAGGACGUGCUAAUCUGCGAUAAGCGUCGGUAAGGUGAUAUGAACCGUUAUAACCGGCGAUUUCCGAAUGGGGAAACCCAGUGUGAUUCGUCACACUAUCAUUAACUGAAUCCAUAGGUUAAUGAGGCGAACCGGGGGAACUGAAACAUCUAAGUACCCCGAGGAAAAGAAAUCAACCGAGAUUCCCCCAGUAGCGGCGAGCGAACGGGGAGCAGCCCAGAGCCUGAAUCAGUGUGUGUGUUAGUGGAAGCGUCUGGAAAGGCGCGCGAUACAGGGUGACAGCCCCGUACACAAAAAUGCACAUGCUGUGAGCUCGAUGAGUAGGGCGGGACACGUGGUAUCCUGUCUGAAUAUGGGGGGACCAUCCUCCAAGGCUAAAUACUCCUGACUGACCGAUAGUGAACCAGUACCGUGAGGGAAAGGCGAAAAGAACCCCGGCGAGGGGAGUGAAAAAGAACCUGAAACCGUGUACGUACAAGCAGUGGGAGCACGCUUAGGCGUGUGACUGCGUACCUUUUGUAUAAUGGGUCAGCGACUUAUAUUCUGUAGCAAGGUUAACCGAAUAGGGGAGCCGAAGGGAAACCGAGUCUUAACUGGGCGUUAAGUUGCAGGGUAUAGACCCGAAACCCGGUGAUCUAGCCAUGGGCAGGUUGAAGGUUGGGUAACACUAACUGGAGGACCGAACCGACUAAUGUUGAAAAAUUAGCGGAUGACUUGUGGCUGGGGGUGAAAGGCCAAUCAAACCGGGAGAUAGCUGGUUCUCCCCGAAAGCUAUUUAGGUAGCGCCUCGUGAAUUCAUCUCCGGGGGUAGAGCACUGUUUCGGCAAGGGGGUCAUCCCGACUUACCAACCCGAUGCAAACUGCGAAUACCGGAGAAUGUUAUCACGGGAGACACACGGCGGGUGCUAACGUCCGUCGUGAAGAGGGAAACAACCCAGACCGCCAGCUAAGGUCCCAAAGUCAUGGUUAAGUGGGAAACGAUGUGGGAAGGCCCAGACAGCCAGGAUGUUGGCUUAGAAGCAGCCAUCAUUUAAAGAAAGCGUAAUAGCUCACUGGUCGAGUCGGCCUGCGCGGAAGAUGUAACGGGGCUAAACCAUGCACCGAAGCUGCGGCAGCGACACUAUGUGUUGUUGGGUAGGGGAGCGUUCUGUAAGCCUGUGAAGGUGUACUGUGAGGUAUGCUGGAGGUAUCAGAAGUGCGAAUGCUGACAUAAGUAACGAUAAAGCGGGUGAAAAGCCCGCUCGCCGGAAGACCAAGGGUUCCUGUCCAACGUUAAUCGGGGCAGGGUGAGUCGACCCCUAAGGCGAGGCCGAAAGGCGUAGUCGAUGGGAAACAGGUUAAUAUUCCUGUACUUGGUGUUACUGCGAAGGGGGGACGGAGAAGGCUAUGUUGGCCGGGCGACGGUUGUCCCGGUUUAAGCGUGUAGGCUGGUUUUCCAGGCAAAUCCGGAAAAUCAAGGCUGAGGCGUGAUGACGAGGCACUACGGUGCUGAAGCAACAAAUGCCCUGCUUCCAGGAAAAGCCUCUAAGCAUCAGGUAACAUCAAAUCGUACCCCAAACCGACACAGGUGGUCAGGUAGAGAAUACCAAGGCGCUUGAGAGAACUCGGGUGAAGGAACUAGGCAAAAUGGUGCCGUAACUUCGGGAGAAGGCACGCUGAUAUGUAGGUGAAGUCCCUCGCGGAUGGAGCUGAAAUCAGUCGAAGAUACCAGCUGGCUGCAACUGUUUAUUAAAAACACAGCACUGUGCAAACACGAAAGUGGACGUAUACGGUGUGACGCCUGCCCGGUGCCGGAAGGUUAAUUGAUGGGGUCAGCGCAAGCGAAGCUCUUGAUCGAAGCCCCGGUAAACGGCGGCCGUAACUAUAACGGUCCUAAGGUAGCGAAAUUCCUUGUCGGGUAAGUUCCGACCUGCACGAAUGGCGUAAUGAUGGCCAGGCUGUCUCCACCCGAGACUCAGUGAAAUUGAACUCGCUGUGAAGAUGCAGUGUACCCGCGGCAAGACGGAAAGACCCCGUGAACCUUUACUAUAGCUUGACACUGAACAUUGAGCCUUGAUGUGUAGGAUAGGUGGGAGGCUUUGAAGUGUGGACGCCAGUCUGCAUGGAGCCGACCUUGAAAUACCACCCUUUAAUGUUUGAUGUUCUAACGUGGACCCGUAAUCCGGGUUGCGGACAGUGUCUGGUGGGUAGUUUGACUGGGGCGGUCUCCUCCUAAAGAGUAACGGAGGAGCACGAAGGUUGGCUAAUCCUGGUCGGACAUCAGGAGGUUAGUGCAAUGGCAUAAGCCAGCUUGACUGCGAGCGUGACGGCGCGAGCAGGUGCGAAAGCAGGUCAUAGUGAUCCGGUGGUUCUGAAUGGAAGGGCCAUCGCUCAACGGAUAAAAGGUACUCCGGGGAUAACAGGCUGAUACCGCCCAAGAGUUCAUAUCGACGGCGGUGUUUGGCACCUCGAUGUCGGCUCAUCACAUCCUGGGGCUGAAGUAGGUCCCAAGGGUAUGGCUGUUCGCCAUUUAAAGUGGUACGCGAGCUGGGUUUAGAACGUCGUGAGACAGUUCGGUCCCUAUCUGCCGUGGGCGCUGGAGAACUGAGGGGGGCUGCUCCUAGUACGAGAGGACCGGAGUGGACGCAUCACUGGUGUUCGGGUUGUCAUGCCAAUGGCACUGCCCGGUAGCUAAAUGCGGAAGAGAUAAGUGCUGAAAGCAUCUAAGCACGAAACUUGCCCCGAGAUGAGUUCUCCCUGACUCCUUGAG